rnacentral:rRNA from 1 species
UACGUAGGGGGCGAGCGUUGUCCGGAUUUAUUGGGCGUAAAGAGCGUGUAGGCGGCCAGGUAGGUCUGCUGUGAAAACUCGAGGCUCAACCUCGAGACGUCGGCGGAAACCAUCUGGCUAGAGUCCGGAAGAGGAGAGUGGAAUUCCUGGUGUAGCGGUGAAAUGCGCAGAUAUCAGGAAGAACACCCGUGGCGAAGGCGGCUCCCUGGGACGGUACUGACGCUGAACUGCGAAAGCUAGGGGAGCGAACGGG